UAAAAUGAUAUCAUGAACAACUUCAUACCAGUAAAUUUAAUUAGGUAUAAUGAACAAAUUCCUAGAGAAACAAAAUUUGCCAUACCUGACACAAGAAGAUGCAGAAAAUCUAAAUAGCCCCCUAUUUUUUAAAAAAAAUUAUAAUGAAAAAUUUUUCCACAAAGAAAAUUUUACAGUCAGUUGGAUUUUUGGGUUAGUUUAGUGAAACAUGUGGGGAAUACCAAUGUUACACAGAGCUCUUGAAGAAGAUAAAGUAGGAAGAAACCCUUCCUAACCCAGUUUAUGAUGUCAGCAUAACUGUGAUAUCAGAGUCCAAUAAGAAUAUUACAAGAAACAAAAAUUAGCAAGUUGAAUCCAGUAAUAUCUGAAAGGACAAUGCAUAGUAACCAACUGGAGUUGAUUCCAGAAAUCACACAGAGGACACACGGAGGGAAGAACCAUGAAGAGAGUCCUCACCCGAAAUCAACUCUGAUACCACCUUGAUCAUGGAGCUCCAGCCUCCAGAACUAUAAUGAAAUGAAUUUCUGUUCUUUAAUUCUCUCAGAAAUAACUAUAUACUUCCAGGAGAGGAGAUGGCGUCUCUACACCUUUCUAUUCUAAAUUUGAUGACUUCAGCACCAUCACAUAAUCAGCCUUCAUCUUUUCCCAUGGACAGUGGACAUGCACUGAACUUGACAUUACACGAAGCUGAAGAAUUUUGCUCCUCGCUGUCUAGGCAAUGGGGGCGCCAGCGUGGCUCAGUUGGUUGGGCAUCCGACUUCAGCUCAGGUGAUGAUCUCACUGUUCAUAAGUUCGAGCCCCGCGAACUCUCUGUGCUGACAGCUUGGAGCCUGGAGCCUGCUUCAGAUUAUGUGUCUCCCUCUCUCUCUGCCCCUCCCCACUCACACUCUGUCUCUCUGUGUCUUAAAAAUAAAUAAAUGUUAAAUAAAUAAAUAAAUAAAUAAAUAAAUAAAACAGUUCUUUCCUAAAGACUGUAUCUCUCAAAUGUUAAGGACUCUUUCCCAACCUGUACCUCAUCCAUAAAUUCGUUAAAUGAUACCAUACAUAAUAAUAUGAUAGUAACUGACAUUUGUUAAUGCUUACUAUGUUUCAGAGGUUGUUUAAAUCUCUUAAUCAACUCAUCAAUUGUUUAACUCAAUUAAUCCUCAGGGUAACCCUACAAGAGAGGUGCA